rnacentral:rRNA from 1 species
AUUGAACGCUAGCGGCAUGCUUUACACAUGCCAGUCGAACGGCAGCGCGGCCUUCGGUCUGGCCGCGUGUCGAACACGGGAGUGUUAUGUAUCAACACAUGCCCAGUAGGGGGGUAACGCUGCGCAAAAUGUUCUCAUAUCCCGUGUGAGCCCUGGGUGGAAACGCGGGACCUCGUAACACUUUUUACUCUCGCACCUUUCGAGCGCGCGUUGUCGGAUUAGCUAGUUGGUGGGGUAAAGGCCCACCAAGGCGACGAUCCGUAGCUGGUCUGAGAGGACGACCAGCCACACUGGGACUGAGACACGGCCCAGACUCCUACGGGAGGCAGCAGUGGGGAAUUUUGGACAAUGGGGGCAACCCUGAUCCAGCAAUGCCGCGUGCGGGAUGAAGGCCUUCGGGUUGUAAAGCACUUUUGGCAGGAAAGAAACGGUGCGCGCUAAUACCGCGUGGAACUGACGGUACCUGCAGAAUAAGCACCGGCUAACUACGUG